rnacentral:rRNA from 1 species
UACGUAGGUGGCAAGCGUUAUCCGGAUUUAUUGGGUUUAAAGGGUGCGUAGGCGGACUGUCAAGUCAGCGGUAAAAUUGAGAGGCUCAACCUCUUCCCGCCGUUGAAACUGGUGGUCUUGAGUGGAUGAGAAGUACGCGGAAUGCGUGGUGUAGCGGUGAAAUGCAUAGAUAUCACGCAGAACUCCGAUUGCGAAGGCAGCGUACCGGCAUCCAACUGACGCUGAGGCACGAAAGCGUGGGGAUCAAACAGG